GACGAACGCUGGCGGCGUGCUUAACACAUGCAAGUCGAGCGAUGAAGUUCCUUCGGGAGUGGAUUAGCGGCGGACGGGUGAGUAACACGUGGGUAACCUGCCUCGUAGAGGGGAAUAGCCUUCCGAAAGGAAGAUUAAUACCGCAUAAGAUUGUAGCUUCGCAUGAAGCAGCAAUUAAAGGAGCAAUCCACUAUGAGAUGGACCCGCGUCGCAUUAGCUAGUUGGUGAGGUAACGGCUCACCAAGGCGACGAUGCGUAGCCGACCUGAGAGGGUGAUCGGCCACAUUUGGACUGAGACACGGCCCAGACUCCUACGGGAGGCAGCAGUGGGGAAUAUUGCACAAUGGGGGAAACCCUGAUGCAGCAACGCCGCGUGAGUGAUGACGGUCUUCGGAUUGUAAAACUCUGUCUUUAGGGACGAUAAUGACGGUACCUGAGGAGGAAGCCACGGCUAACUACGUGCCAGCCGCCGCGGUAA
rnacentral:rRNA from 1 species